UACGUAGGGUGCGAGCGUUGUCCGGAAUUAUUGGGCGUAAAGAGCUCGUAGGCGGCCUGUCGCGUCGGAUGUGAAAGCCCGGGGCUUAACCCCGGGUCUGCAUUCGAUACGGGCAGGCUAGAGUUCGGUAGGGGAGAUCGGAAUUCCUGGUGUAGCGGUGAAAUGACGCAGAGUAUCAGGAGGAACACCGGUGGCGAAGGCGGAUCUCUGGGCCGAUACUGACGCUGAGGAGCGAAAGCGUGGGGAGCGAACAGG
rnacentral:rRNA from 1 species